UUUCCGUAGGUGAACCUGCGGAAGGAUCAUUACCGAGUGAGGGUCUCUCAGGCCCGACCUCCCACCCUGUGUUUUUGUGACCUUGUUGCUUUGGCGGGCCCGCCUCGAUGAGAGGCCGCCGGAAGCUCACCGCUUUGGGCCCGUGCCCGCCAGUAGCCCCCUUAAAUUCUUAAUAAACCUGUCGUCUGCGUCUAGAUAUAAUAAAAAAAACUUUCAACAACGGAUCUCUUGGUUCUG
rnacentral:misc_RNA from 1 species